rnacentral:tRNA from 1 species
CGGGAGGUGGCGCAGCCUGGAUUAGCGCACUUGAAUGGGGUUCAAGGGGUCGCGGGUUCGAAUCCCGCCCUCCCGA